UGUAGAUAAUUUUAUUCAUAAUAGUAAUAAUAAUAAUAAUAAUAUAAUUAAUGAUCAGUAAUAAAUAUAAUGAAUAAUAAUAAUAAUAUUAUGUUAAAUCGUAGCAAAUCUUUGUAAGUGGUGGUAUUAUAAUAUAAUAAUAAUAAUAAUAAUAAUAGUAAUAAUAAUAUUAAUAAUGACUAUUUAAUAAUACAAUAAUUCACACCUAACAACAACCGCGAAUAUAAGUGUCCGCGCAUUUUUAUUGUACACUCAAAGACACGCGCGUGUGGGCGCAUAUUAUUAUUACUAUAUACGAAAUAAACGAAUGAGUAAUGAAAAAUUAAUUAAUCGUAAUAAAUGUCUAAUAAUCGAUAAUUAUAAUAUGCGUGUGCCGAAUGAAAACCGAAAAUUACAAUGCUCGAAUAUUAUUAGUAUUAUACAACGUGUAGUACACGCGUGAAAACGAUAUUUAUAAUACAGUAUUAUUUGUAUAGUAAUGCACAACGUUGCGACAUCACGCCCGCGUAUGUGUUAUAAUAACUGUGUAACGCAUAGAACACCGUGUACAAUAAUUACACGGGGCGGGGUACUGAAACGAACGAGAAAACGGCAAUAUUGUGAACCGGAUUAUUCAGUGGCGAUCGCCCGAGUGUCCGGAUGACGGUAUUUUUGGGACCUCCGUCCCCGAAACCAGGGGGCUUGUAUUACAUUGAUUUUUCUCGGGACGUUUUCGCGCGCGUUCGACAAAAAUUAUUAGGCGGCGCAACGUUCUCGUACUUUUGCACGAUUAAAACGCGCCUAAAAAAAAAAAAAAGAAACAUUUGUCGCCAGAACGGGUGGAGGGGGGAGGGGAAAUUUCGCGACGAAAACACCCUGUAUACUAUAAGUAUAUUAACUACGGUAUUGUAGCCGGAGUCGUGGUUAAACACAACGCCCGGAGCCUCCGGGAACGCGUAACCAGAUACCUUAAUAAUAUUAUGUACGCAGACUUUUUUAUCCGGCCGUGAAAUACGCUUAGCGCACACGAAAAACAAUCAAACGAGGAGCAGGCUAAAACUUUUCUGUUUUUUUUUUUUUCUAAGAAAGAAAAAUUUUUUAUCGUAAGACUUGAUCGGAUACGUGCCUAUAUUAUACUUUUCUGCGGUUGACGUGUUGACGGAAAUAAAUCGAAUUGAAUUCAAGCGGACAUUUAAAACGUAAUUUACCAAAAAAAAACCGAUGCGAUUCAAAACAGCGUGCGUUUACAUUAUAGGUGAUCCCGAACAUGGGCGAUCGAUACAUCCAAUUGGCUCCCGAGAUUCGCCCGAUUCGAUCGUUUUUAAAAUCGAAAUUAAUCUUUAGCAGUUGUUCGGCUAGAUUGACGUGCAGACAUCCAUAGACAGACGAUACAAUAUUAUUGCACGUUUACGCCGAAAACCAAAAGGCGAUAUUGCGGUCGUCGUCGGUUAUUACCGCAUAGACCCGGUAACAUACAUUUGUAUCAGACGGCGCUCGAAUUGGGGAAAGAGGCGUGCAGAGUGCCUUUACGCUUUUUUUUUCUUCCACGAGUCUUAGCUGGGAACCCGUAUACGGAAACUUUACGCAGGAAGUGACAAUGGAAUUUUUUAUUUUUCCCCCCAGUAAUUUCGCGUAACAUCCCUAAAACUCGGAAAUUCAACGAUUCUAAAUUCGGAAAAAUUAAUAAUUUCUUAGUUUUUAUUAUUUAUAUUAUUAUUCAUUUUUUUUUUUUUUUUUUUUUUGCGGUAUCUUAUGGGUACGCGAUUUUUUCAAGUUGAAACAUUAUCGGUAAAUUUAUUUACCAAAUUGAUAAGUCGGUAUAUGGAAUCGGUACGUCAUUGACCAUACUCUUCUAUCGACGUUUGUUUCGUUUACGCCGGCUUUGUUUACACCGAAAUCAGGAGUUUGCCCACCCCCGCCCCCCGAUUCGAGCACCGACAGUAAUAACUAAUAAUAAACCGUGUCCACGGGUCCGCCGGUGUGUAUUACAAUACCGGGGUGUUUGGGUCGGUCGUGCGAACGUCACGGAUAAGUACGUUGUAAAUCUCUCCGCGUCGCGUAACACCCGUCAACAGAAUACGCACGGGGAGCCCGAUUCGAGCCGGGAAAAUAUCGCGGAAACCGUGUCGUCCAGAGUGAACACAUUAUCGCUAUUACUCUACCGCCUUGUUCCUGAUUCGGAAAAACAAAAUUUACGUCGACGAAAGCCGCGUGCGCCGUUUCGCGAGCCGAUUUCCGGACCGGGGGAACGGGGGGACGGGGGGGGGGGAAACACACGAGCAGUAGAGCACCGUGACUAGAGUCCGAUUUUCUCCCAGACGACUAUUGCUGCCGUUACAAUAAUGAUUCUGGUAAAGUUCGAGUUGGAAGUUCAAACGUUCUGUAACGGCGCAUACACGACAACAUUUCACGUGUACGCAUUUUAACCAACUCACUUACUUUCGUGAGCCAGUAAGGGUAUUUAAAUGGCGUUUCGGGGGUUGACAGUUGAAACCGCCCAGAAGGCACGUCCUCGAUACCUACACGCCUGCGCGCAUAUACAAAAGUGCAUCGUACGUUUCCUUCAUUUUGGGGCCUGUAGGGGUGUACAUUGUACGAAAGCUAUAAAAACACCGUCCUCCUGUUCUUCCUCCUUCUCCUCCUCCGUUCGCAUUGAAAUUCAACCGAAAUUUGCUCUCUUCGAUCCGGUAAUAGGAAAGAAAAGAAAAAAACAACAACUACUAGUUUUGGUUUGGAGGGAGUCACUAGAGGUGUCCGGUCGUGCCGGCGAUACGAUUUUGUAUAUAACCGCGGACACAAAACAGCGCGAGUAUCUGUUUUCAAUUUUCGAAAAAGAAACAAAAAUAUGUUCGUAAUGAAACGACUACGGCGGCGUGCAUUGUUAAUAGACGCGUUUCGGCGACGCGGUUUCCGGUUAACGGUUUGCCGCGCAUUGUGUUUUACCAACGGGGACCGGAGACGUUGAACGUAAUUUUUAAAACGGUUUGCGAUUCCGCGGUAACCCCUCCUCUCCCCCCCCUCCGGCUGGUCGUCGAAACGUGCGUUCGGUCGUGCCGUCAAAACACGCCCAUCGUGUACGGAUUUCCGGGUUCGGCACACGCCGCGCGAUAAUAUUUAACGUUCAGGUACCCAUGUAUGUAAUUCGUUUCGAAUUGCGAACGGUUUUGGCACGUCGGAAAAAUAUACAUACCUAAUGAUUAUUAUCAUACGUAAUGUCUUAGGCAUAAAAGAAACAAAAAAAAAAACCACGAAAAAUCCGAUACAUUCGCAAUCAAAAUGCACCGAUAAUAAUAUUAUAGUAUAUAUGUAUAUAUAUAUACAUAUACAUAUAUAUAUAUAUAAAUAGAAUAGGAACCACGGGCGAGCACACUUAAAAUAGGGAAAAAAAAAAACACUCGAUUUUGG